GCCCACUCAAAAAUAGCAGCAGUGAGUGAGGAAUGCCAGCAGCCCUUUGCUGCAGCGGGCACUUCCACCAACUUAAUUCCUAACUUGUCAAAGCUAACAUAUCAUUGCUAUCAUAAAUGGAAAUGAUCAUUCAGCAGCAGAGUGUUAAUGACAUGCCAUCACCAGGAGUGCCUUUCCCCGGCAGGAUGGAGGCUCACACACCAGUCAGCCCUGCAGAGUGCACAGAAAUACCUGCUGGGAAUGGGUUUCUAUGCAUGGACUCAUGAGCUGAUGUGCUCUUGCAGGAGAACACGAGCAAACGUUCUGCACUGGGUUCCCAAAGCACAAUCCUGGUGGACAGCUCACCCCUAUCAGUCGGUGGCUGAAAAUACAGCGUAUCUAUUUGCUUGCACCUCUCCUACAUACUGUUACUGUUAAGCACCCGAGAAGAACAGUUGCUUGAGAACAUCAGCAUUGAGCUCCAUCUCAGAAUUGCUCCUCCCAGUCAGCAGGCAGGAGAUGGACCUGCCAGCUGUAACACCAAGAAGGUACCAGAAAUCACAGGUGGUGGCAUCCCCGACCCACUCGUUCUGACAGCUCAGGCUUCGGUGUGCCAGGAGGUGGGGACGCCUGACACGCACCAUGGAUCAGCAGAGCUCAUAGCCAAGGCAAAGCUAAGCUGAGGGCACCGAGACCUGGUCACCAUGCAGAGCACAGAGACACCAAGGGGAAGGUGCUGGGCUGCACCCUGCGUGUUUGGCCAAGAGCCCAUGGGGAUAGAGGGCAGCCCCUGGUGGUCCCACACAGAGAUCAGCGAUGGGAAGAUGGCAGCUUGGUGCUGGGAACAAAACAGAUGGUGUCAGAAUGGGCUUUUUUAUAUUUGAGGACAAAGUGACAUGGGAGGAGCAAGAAGGAGGGACUGAGAGAUCCGAGGGAUCCUGUAGCCUGCGUGAAAAGGGAAGAGGAAGGAAGGAAAAAGGAAGAACCUGCAACCUAUCACUAUUGACUGCUCUAUUUAUAGAGCAUUCCGUAUCUCACCGGCAACCAACUUCAGCAAUAAGGGCGGUACAAAAGGUUUCAUGAGCACAUCUUUGCAUCCCAAGCACAUCACUGAAGGAGCAGCCAGGCAGUGCACCCAAAUAACCUGCACCGCUGCACCUCAUCCAGAUAACGCACAGUGCGGUUCUUCCUGCCCAUCACCCCAUCUCCUGCGCUGCUCAAGCAACAAAUUCACAUGCUUGGAUCUCUCUGCACCAGUUCUCAUUUCUAUUUCUUCUCCCCCAGCAAAACAUUUGGAAGAAAACAGCAUUUCCCUCCACUAAAGCAGAGCUCCCACAGCUGAAUAUUGCCUUCGAUCUGCUGCAAGGCAGGUAUCUGCCCAUGAAGAUGCACAGCAGAACACGUAGGAUUUAUCUGCCAGCAACAAAUCGCUGCAAUCCAGGGAAAAGAAAAAAAAAUGAAAUAAAUAAAAGCAAGCUCUGACAAGAAGCUCACAGUUCUGAAGGACUUUUGCUAGGAUUUGAUGCAAUCUGCCGCGCCGGCAAAUUAAAGCCUACGGAAACCAUGCUAAAAUUAGAGAGAGCUGAGAUGAAAACCAAAGACACACGGUGGCUCUUGCAAAUCCUUAAAUAGGGCUUGGUACAGCAGUCGGGUGCUCAGCUCACGUCUCCCAUGGCCACUGAUGAAGCUGCACAUGGGACAGUCCCCAUUCCACUGCUGUUGCCGUGGAUGGGGCUGACGCAGCCCUGCACCUUAUUGCUGGGCGCUUCACCACCCCCUGCUGCUGCCCCGCACAGCUCUGGGGCCGCCCCACACAGCUGCCAUGCUCCCUACCUCCAUUCUCUGGGUUUUUGGGGAAGCCCCAUGCUCUGCUGUGUGGUGCUGGUACGUCUGAGAGCAGCACAGCUCUGCACAGAUGCGAAUACCUUGGGGGGUACUCACUGCUCAUUAAUCUGAAGCCUUGUGACUUCAACAGCAUGAAAUAUUCCAGGGAUAACCAUAGAAUCAUUGGGGUUGGAAAAGCCCGCAAAG